GACGUGUUUCCAGGGCUCCAAACUACAGCUCCCAUCAUGCACAGCGCUCUCCUGGUGCUUUACUUCCUCUUCGUAGCUUUACACCCGCUGGAGAAGGAGAGGGUUGCAUGGUGCCAUUCACACGCAAAGGAAAUGGACAUCCCAGGAUUCCUUAAUUUGCAUGAGCCCGCCCACUGCCUCUACCUUAACCCUUUCCUGUGGCACACAGUUAACAGAGGAAUUGAUCAACAACUGAACAAGAGGUUUGGGGAGAAUUCACCAUGAUUUACAAGAGUUGUACCUGACCUACAUCCAGAGAGCACUGUUAACCCAACCAACAAUGUAUCUGGACCAAACUUACCAUGGAUGAUAGUAUUUGCAGUACCUUCACUGAUACUGUGACCCCCGCCGACAAUGAACUGGGACCAAACUUGGCACAGAGAAGUCCCAUGACCAAUUAAACAUACUGCAGGUGUUAGUGAAAUGGACCUUGAUUUUGGGAGUUAUAGUUCACUUGCAUACCAGCUGACAUCGGCUCUGGACCAAACUUGGCACACAGACCCAACAUAGCCAACUGUGUAUACAGGCUUGCUUUGAGGUUGGUUGACUUCAGAUCUGGGAGUUUUAGUUCACCCUUAUCCAGUGAGCCUUGAACUCAGCCAACAAUGGAUCUGGACCAAACUUCACUGAUAUUACCUAACAUCCCAAAACAAACAAUGCCUUCUUCUAAUAACCCGAGCAUCGCUCGGUCCCCAAGCUAGUAUUAUAUAAAAUGGCAAAAUCAAGCUCUUUGAAUUUUUUAAAUAUUUGUCAAGCUGUAGAUAACUGAAUCUGUGGGUGCAGAAUCCAUGGAUGCAGAAUCCAUUGAUAGGUAGCAAGCACUUAAUUUCUGGAAUUUUAUGCAGGAUACGGAAGAACAAUGCAUCUUCAAAGGAGACUCUGAUGAAUAUCAUGGGCUGAAGCUGGGCCCAAAGCAUUGGUAAAUGUUUCCCACCAUUCUUUGACAUCAUUGUAGAUUUUAUCACCUCGUCACAUGGGCUGAUUUGCCCGUUGUAUUCUGCUUCCCCUCCACUUUCAGCAUGGAGUUCUUCCCAUGAUGCACAGGCACUUCCAGCCAGGCUCCAUGCCAAAAAGGGAGAGGAAGGGGCACACGCCGCUGCAGCAACAUGGGAGCCUUCCCGUAUUGCCUUCCCAGCAAUGGGGGGAAGUCAGGUGGUGACGCUUCCUUCCUGGGAUGAGGGGCAUGGUAAGGUGGGCGAUGCAGGGAGUUGAUUGAUCAAUUCUCCAUGCCCCCUGUCGAAAGCUCAUGGAUUCGCCACAAUGUGAGCCGAAUCCAUGGGCCUUUAUGAUGAGGUCCUAAGUCAAGGGAGUGAAGUUAUGACACGACAAACAGCUUUGUGCCAAUUUAAAACUACUUUCUUCAAUCACAUCUGCCUAACUUGGACAGGCAGCACAGACUAUAUGUCAAGAGAACUAGCUCACAUAAUACAUUUCCAUGAGGGCCAGCACAAAUGUAGACUUGUCAUACAGAUCACAGUCCUAUACUGUUUGAAAUCCUCCAAGGCAGGAACACUGUCUGUUAGUUGCACAUCAGACACAAAACCUUAGUGAACUUUGAUCCAAGACUUUCAGAUUUAACAAUGCUAGGCAUGCAAAGACUAGUGACCUUAUCAGAUGGGCCAAAUUUGGUGGCAUACACCAGUUCCUCUUCACUUUUGCCAUGGAGCCAGCCAGCUUCUAUCCCAUGAUGUACAUCUACUUCUGGCAGGCUCCGUAGCAAAAGUGAAAGUGAACCAGCAUACACCAUUUUGGAAGCAACAUGGGAGGCUUUCCAUGUUUGAUUAGCCACAAAAGGAGGAAGCAGGGCAGCAGAUGUUUCCCUCAUAGGAUGGGUUAAGGGGGAAGCUGGGUGAGGUGGGCAUGGGUUCCCCACACCCCACUCCAGGCCCUGACGGAUUGGCCACAAUCUGUAGCAAAUCUGAUGGCUAAUGUGAUAAGGUCCUAGGAACCUAAUGAGAGCUUUCCUGUCAAUGCUAAAGAUUGGUAUUCUGACUCUCUUUUUUGUGAUCAUGAAGUUGCUGGAGUUACAAGUAAGUAUGACAAAAGUGCUGGAAACACAAGAACUUGGUUAGGAUUACUAAAGCCUGGCUUUUUUGUAAGGAUUGCUGAGGUAAUGUUUGUGUUUGCUUUCUGAACACGUAAUAUAAAUAUAUAGUGGUUCUAGAAGAUAACAGGGUUCAUGUCAUCAUAAGUAAAAUGAGCAUAAGCAGGCAGGUAGAAAUAUAAAAAUAUGGAAGCAAUUAUCAUUCUCCUUGGUGUUAUGAGAUUAAAACAUAUCUCCAGUGCUUUCCAUGUUGAAAUAAAAAAGGUUGUUUCCCACUACGGAUGAUUCAAGCAGCACUGUGCAAUCAAAAGGAGUAUAGAUCUCUCCAUUUUUAGACACUAAAAAUGAAGAAAAAAUCAUUUUCACCCCAGUGAAAAAAAUCUAAUCCCCAAUUUGCAUUUCCUCUGAUUAAAUAUAGAGAGAUUCAUCAUUAAGGAAAUGGAGCAAAAGAAAAAAAAUAAACACUCCAGCAAAAUUGUGAAGUGAAACUUAAUAGUGCUUACACAGGCAGUCCCAAGUUUCUUCCUAAGCUGAAUUUAUAUGUAAGUUGGAACAGGUACAUUGUAAGUAUAACUCCAGAUUCUCACACACACACACACACACACACACACACACACACACUUUGGAUAGCAUAGGAAAGGCUUAGCACCCCUGUAGUGUUCGUUUUGCUGUCUGUGCCCCUGUUCAGAUGAUUUCACCUCACUUUCUGUCCCUAUGAUAAUUGCAUUUUGAAAAAAAUUGGCUUAUUGUGGAAACAAGGAUUGAUGAUACAGCUUCAGUGGAGACACCUUUUCCCCAUGAUAACUCUUCCAGGAGUUAAGUUCUAGGGAUAGAUUUCUCUCACUUCCUGUUGUCUCACCCCCAUCCCUAACUAUGAGUUGUUUGUAAGUCAGAUGUUUUUAACUCAGGCACUACCUGUAUAGAUUCUUUUAUGUCUCUGUUAUUUCUCAAAAAUUAAUUAAUUUGUCUUUGGAAAGUUACUGUCUUUUUCUUCCUUCUCCUCCUCCUCUUCCUUUUCCUUUACCAUCACUAUCUCCUCACUUUCCUCCAUGAAUACAUACAUAAUGGAAGGGGAAUAGCUCCAGUAUAUGUUUUCCAGAUGUACAUGUAUACAGGUUGAGCAUCCCUAGUGAAGAAAUACUCCAAAAUCCAAAACCUUUUUUGCCACCAGCUGCCCGCUUCUGUCUUUGAAGCAGCUGCUAUGGUGCUUCUUUUCAUUCAUUUGCAAGGCAGAAGUAAGCACCUAGAAGGUUCCCCAGAGAGCUCCUGUUUGUACUGUGUUGUUUUGUUUUUGAAUACAGGUAUCCUCAGUCUUUAAAAUCUUCAGUCUCUCCUCUGCCUCAUCCACAACAAGAUUAAGAAACUGAUGAGACAUGGAUCUGGAGAUAAUACAAGGACCUGUAAACUGCUGGAGUAAUGGAUAGCUGAGAUAUUUAUAUCUAUAUGCAAAUAUAGAUAUAUCUAUAUGCAAAUACAGGUAUCACAACAACAACAACCUAAAAAUCCAAAAUCUAAAAUAUUUCUGUUCCAAAACAUUUUGGAUAAGGGAUACUCAACCUGUAGUACUUGUUAUAAGUAGUAGUACAUAAUCCUCUCUGUGGGUGAGUUUACAUAAACAUGAUGGCCUUCCAAAUACCGAAAUGCCAGCUUCCAACAUUCCUCACUAUUAUCUAUGAUGGGUACAGCUAUGAGGAUCUAGAGAGCAAUAUCAUUUCCACCCUUAGGUAUGAGAUGAGGGAAAUUAAUCUUUACAAUAUAAUUUCCAAAGUUUCUAAAUCAGGAUAGCAUGGCAUCAAAAACAGAAUAUAAAAUGGAAUGAAACUAGUGGCAGUCAAGUCUACAGUCAUUAUUUGCAUGAAAAUGAGGCUAUCAUACUUUGAACAUAUCAUGAAAAUACAUGGUUCACUAGAAAAGGCACUAAUGCUGAGAAAAUUUAAAAAUGAUAGGAAAAGAGGAAGACUGCAUUAAAGAUGAACAGACUCAAGCAAGGAAGCAACAGCCAUGAGUUUCCCAUAUCUGAUAAGGGCUUUCAAUAACAAGAGCCUUGGAAAUCUCUUUUUUUAAAUCAGGCUUAUGUAUAAAUAUAAUUUCUCAAACAAUAAUUGAUGUUUCUGAUGCAGAAAGAAAUAAUAAUGCAAAUCAGCAUUGGGUGAAUUUUGUACAAAAUAAAUUCACAAUUACAGGAUUUUCAGCAUAGGAAACCAUAUUUUUAUAUAAAAUUAUUAUUUUCUACAUAAAAAGCUGUUCCACACAAAAUAAUAAUGUGUGGAUUUUAUGCAAAAUACUGUAAAUCCUAAAAUGCAAAGAUUUUUGUCAAUCCAGAAUUUCUCAACACCAAAAAUAUUCAUUCCUACCAUUUUCUGAAAAUUUUCACACAUUCUUUCCAUUUCUAAUAUCCAUAUGAUGUUCUUCAAAUCCCAUUUUUCCUAGGAAUUUCUAAUAGUAGCCACAGCUCUUUGAACCCCUGAAGGAUAUGUGAAGUUUUUUCUGCCCUGGGAGUUCCUAAUAAAUACCAGUUGAAUGUUACAUAUCUGUAUCCAUUGCCUUGAUCCACCCAGCCACUUUGCUGUACUUUUGGGGCAGUCACAUUGAUGACAUUUGAAAUGAUUGUGUGAUUUUUGUUACUAAGGUUUCUCCCAACCUUCAAUCUUUCAAUUAAUUUCCAGUUCCCAGAUUCAGCAUUUCUCGUUCUCAUGACCACCACCACCACGUUUAGAGUUACAUCAGUAAAUUGUCAUAGCACCAGGGAGGAUGUGUUGUAUUCAUGGAAGAGAUGGUUGAGAAAUGGAAGGAAACCAUGCCAACACAGUAAAUCACAUCUCAGGUGGAAAGAAAGACUUCAGUAGCCCCUCCACAUCUGCAGGUUUCACUUUUGUGGAAAUUAGUGAUAGUGUUCCAUUGAGUAUCUAGAGAUUCCUAGAGAACAGUUCUCUAAGCCAGUGGUUCUCAACCUGGGGUCCCUAGAUGUUUUUGCCCUUCAACUCAGAAGGGCAAAAACACCUGGUCAACUGGCUGGGAUUUCUGAGAGUUGUAGGCCAAAAACAUCUGGGGACCCCAGGUUGAGAACCACUGCUCUAAGCAGUCCUCUAGUAUCAUUCUUUCACUUUAGGUAAAAAAUGACCAUAGAGGUGCUAGAGAUUUUUAGAGAUUUGUAAAAUAAUAAUACUUCUUAUUCAUGGGUUUGUUUGUUUGUUUUUUUUACUUUUUCUGGAGUUCUUUGCUCCUCACAUCAGGAAAUGUAGAUGGCUGCCUGUAGUUGAAAAGAAAUGUUCAGAUUGGUAUAAUACCAAGCCCUUGAAAAGCGUAACAAAGCAAGGUCAUAACUAGGUCAUGACAAGGUGUAAAAUCCUGAAACACAAGUUAUGACAUUUCACAGAACCAUUGGGUAGUCUGAAGGAGCCAUAUGUCUACUAUUAUCUAAAAUAUAACUAUAUCUGGUGCUUAUAUCUGUUUUUUGCUUUCUUUUUUUUUUUACAGCUCUUAGCUCAGUUUCCAUACUGUGUCACGCACAUGGGAAUGAGGGACUGGAAACAUGUGCAAAAUUAAUCUGCCUUGACCGUUGUAGUGGGGGUGGAGGAAUAAGAGAUGUGGGAGAGACAGCAAGAACAGUGAAACUUUUGGCUAGUACUGAAUCAAUCUUUCCACUGUGAUCUCUCCCAAAUGCUGCUUGCACUACAAAGUUUCCUGAUCACAGCUCAUUACAACAAUAUGAUUUCCCCAAGACAACAUAUAUGUUUUUCUAACUCCCUGUUGAAUUUGUACUUUUUGUUUUUCUUCAGCUCUUAUUAAAUAUAUAUGUUUGUGACAAAGAAUACUAAUUAAGGGUAAAAUAUACAUGGAAAAUAAAAAAUACAACAAAAGUAAUGUAGGGAAUUUGGGAAUAAUGAGCCUGCCUAUGUAAUAAAGUUGUAUAUUCCAGAUACAUGAGUGGAAACAUAGUAAAUAUAUACAUUUGAGGAUAAUCCAAUCAGAUCUGUAUGUCAACCAUAGGUACUGAAAGGAUCUCACCAUUUCCAGACAAAAAUGUAUUGACACCAACAGAAUUGAAUGAACUUAACAGCUAGUAUACAAUCUAUAUGAUAGGCAGGUCUCCACAAUUUGGGGACCACCUCAACAGCUAAGCAGAACUUACCACCAGGACAAUAAAAUCUGGAUGUAUCUAUCAUAGAAUCAUAGAGUUGGAAGAGAUCACAUGGGUCAUAUAGUCCAACCCCCUGCUAUGCAGGAAAAUGACAAUAAAAGUAUCCCCGAUAGAUGGCCAUCAAGCCUCUGUUUAAGAGCUUCCACAACACUCCGAGGCUGAGAGUUCCACUGCUGAACAGCUCUUAUAGUCAGGAAGUUCUUCCUAAUGUUCAGGUGGAAUCUCCUUUCCUGUAAUUUCAACCCAUUUCUCCAAGUUCUAGUUUCCAGAGCAGCAGAAAACAAGCCUGCUCUCUCUUCCUUAUGACAUCUGUCAGAACCCUGCUACUAGAGCCUGGAUAUGGCGCUGAGUUUCAGGGUCACUGACAUUGUGAAUAGAUAAGACACCUGCAUCCCGGGAUCCUGAGAAGACACGGCUGCUGGACUUGGCGGGGAAACUUCGCGGGGUUUUGUUGGGCGGGAAAUGUAUCCCCUCAAAUGAGGGGGAAGGGUAUAUAAAGGAAUGCUGGCCGGUGCCUCCCAUUCCUGGCUUUUUUCAUGUCGAUGUUUCCUGCAAUAAAGUUUAUGGUGACAACACAGCGAGUCUCGUGUAUUCAUUCAGGAGCGGCUGUAGUGAGCCGACAACAUCAUUUCACAUAUUAUUUAUACAUGGUAAUCAUGUCUCCUCUCAACCUUUUCUUCUGCAGGCUAAACAUACCUAGCUCUUUAAGACACUCCUUAUAGGGCAAAUUAUCUAGACCUUUGAUCAUUUUAGUUGCCCUCCUCUGGACACAUUCCAGCUUGUCAAUAUCUCUUUUAAAUUGUGGUGUCCAAAACUGGACACAAUAUUCCAGGAAAGGUCUAACUUAUCUGUCUAUCAAUUUCUAUCAUCUAUAUUUAAAAUACCACAAACUCCAGUAACAUUUUGCCUACCUGUUUUCUCCAACUAUUAUCAUUUCCCCUGGCUUUUGCUAUUAUCUAAUGUAGAUUUCUUAUUACUUUGUAGUCUCCCUAUGAUGUUUGACCUCAACAUUUCUCUGUAUUUUCUUUCAUAGAAUCAUAGAAUAGUAGAGUUGGAAGAGAUCUCACGGGCCAUCCAGUCCAACCCCCUGCCAAGAAGCAGGAAAAUCACAUUCAAAGCACCCCUGACAGAUGGCCAUCCAGCCUCUGCUUAAAAGCCUCCAAAGAAGGAGCCUCCACCACAUUCUGGGCCAGAGAGUUUGACUGCUGAACAGCUCUCACAGUGAGGAACUUCUUCCUAAUGUUCAGGUGGGAUCUCCUUUCCUGUAGUUUGAAGCCAUUGUUCUGCGUCCUAGUCUCCAGGGGGGCAGAAAACAAGCUCGCUCCUUCCUCCCUAUGACUUCCCCUCACAUAUUUAUACAUGGCUAUCAUGUUUCCUCUCAGCCUUCUCUUCUGCAGGCUAAACAUGCCCAACUCUUUAAGUCGCUCCUCAUAAGGCUUGUUCUCCAGACCUUUAAUCAUUUAGUCGCCCUCUGCUGGAAACUUUCCAGCUUGUCAACAUCUCCCUUCAGUUGUGGUGCCCAAAAUUGGACACAGUAUUCCAGGUGUGGUCUGAACCAAGGCAGAAUAGAGGGGCAGCAUGACUUCCCUGGAUCUAGACACUAUACUCCUAUUGAUGCAGGCCAAAAUCCCAUUGGCUUUUUUCGCCGCCACAUCACAUUGUAGGCUCAUGUUUAACUUGUUGUCUACAAGGACUCCAAGAUAUUUUUCACAUACUGCUGUCGAGCCAGGCAUCCCCCAUUCUGUAUCUUUGCAUUUCAUUUUUUCUAAGUGGAGUAUCUUGCAUUUGUCCCUGCUGAACUUCAUUUUGUUAGUUUCAGCCCAUCUGUCUAAUCCAUCUCUCUUUCCUGCACUUUCAGUUCUCCUAUAUUUAUUGUUUUGUCAGAUAUUGUGUUAUUUCUGCAUUCUAUAUCUUUACUCUGCUUACAUGCUACCAGUCAAAACACACUGUGCAACUAUUUCAUCUUUAACAUGGACAUGUGUGUAUGUAGUGAAAAAAGAUGGGGAAAGCAAUGAGGAAAAACAUGAUGAUUACAAGUGAAACAUAACAAUGACUGAACACACCUAGACAAACACCCUCCCAAAAUUAUAAGACAAAAACCUAAUCUGAAAGUCUUCUCCCCACCCCCUGAUUUUAUAGGACAGUUAUAUGGGAGUUAUCAAGCUCAUUGCUUCUAUUAUUUUCUUCCCAUUAUUAUUUUCUGGCAGCAGUGGCAUGUUUUCUUCCUAUUCUUUUAUUCACUCCUGUCAUUUUAUCUCUGUCAUGUUGAAUUGUAAGCCUUUGGGGACCCUUGCAAUUCUUCAAACAUUGUAAAGUGCUUAGUAGUACAUAUUAAGUAUUCUGGAAAUAAUAAGUGAUGGAAAUGAUGACAAAGGAAUUUAUACAUGAGAAAGACAAGACCGAGCAUACUGUUAGAUGCCUAUCUAAUUGGAGAGCAUUCCAAAAAAGAAGACAAUACAAGGAUCCUGGCAGGAGUGACUUGCUCUACCAUUAGAUGCCUAUCUAAAGAGAGAGCAUUCCAACAAGAAGAUAAUACAGUACAAGGAUCCCAGCAGGAAUGACUUGCUCUCUUUGCUCUGUAAGGCCGAAAUUUUACCGUUUCAAUCCUUACCUGGGAGUGAGCAUGCUUAGCUUAUUUCUAGGCAUACUUCUAAGCAGCAAUGGAUAACAAUGAAUAACUAGGGAUCCUUCUGAUAAAAAUUUGGUCCCAUUAGACAGGCCAUUGAUUGCAAGUAUAAGAACUUCAUAAUGAAGCCAAGAAAUAAUUCUAGUUUUGUUGUACGAGUAUUUCUCCAUAUUUUUCCCAAAGUGUUAAAGACCUAAAUCCAAUUGUUAGUAGAACAACUGAUUAUAGACUUGUUCAACAGAAUCAGUAGAUCUAUUCUAAUUGAUAACUAGUUUUCAAUUCAGAUCUUUAUCUGAAGACUUAUUCCCUGUAUCCCAUCAAAUCAAGUGUGAUGGGUAGUAAGUAAGGAAAAGGAGCUUUACUAUUGUACUUCCUGGCUAUGGACUCCCCUCUCAGGGUGACAUUAUACAUAUGUAUUGUGUUGUUUUCAGAAAGAGACUUCCCUCACCUAGUGGGACACUUACUUCUUUUAAACAGUUACAAAUAUUUACUGAAGUUUUAAGAUAGGUAUAAUUGUUGGUGCUAUUUUGAGUUAGCUAUAUUUAUUGCUGUUCUCUGAUAUUAGUUUUAUUUAUCCCGAAGGGGACACAAGAUGGAUCACAAAACAUACAUAUGCGGCAAACAUUCAAUGUCACUUUAUACUGCCGAAGAGCCAGUUUGUAAUUUCCUCCAUUGGAUUGAAUCACCAGCAUUCCUUCUGGGUGCCUCAGAAUACCUCCCCCGCAUUUUUUAUGAGCGGUACCUAUUUAAUCACAUUUUUGUUUUCGAACCGCUAGGUGGGCAAAAACUGGACUAAAGGCCAGGAGCUCACCCUGACCUGGCUUCAAACAGGGAGCCUUUCGACUGACAAGAUUGACUACUGCUGGUGUUUAACCUGCUGUGCUAAAGCUAGCUCCUGUUGGAUUUUAUAGUUCUGUGGUUCUAUCGAUCCAACAUAGAGAUUUGCUGUUUACAUACUUUUUAUGGUUUUCUUCCCCUGCAGAGCAAUUAUCAAUUGACUUUAACAAUGUAAAAUCACAUAUCUAUCUACUCAGAAGUGAAAGCCCCAAUGUGUUUACCUGUGCUUCUUGUUAUUGUUGUGUGCCUUCAAGUUAUUUCUGACUUAUGGUGACCAAAAGUGACCCAAUCACAGUGGUUUUUUGUCUAGAUUUGUUCAGCCUUUGCCUUCUUCUGAACAGAGAAAGUGUGACUUGCUCAGCCAGUGGUUCUCCAUGGCUUAGCCGAGAUUUCAGUCCUGGUCUCUAGAGUCAUAGUCCAAUUCUCAAUUGACUUCACUAUGCUAGGUAAACAUAUACAAGAUUGUAGCAUGGGAUAAUCUAAAAGACAAUUAGAGUGCAGAUAUUUCUUGGUAUCUUUCAUGCUUUUUUCCUCCACAAUAUCUGCCUCAAUACAUUUAAUUUUGUUUACCACAUGUAGCUAAAAGUAUUGUACAUUAUUUCCCCCAUUUCUUUCCGCCCACCCAACUCUAUUUUUUUCUAUCUCUGUGAAAAAGGUUAGGUUGAGAUGGUUAUAUCAUGGGAAAGGUGUAAUUUGCUCUGUUCUAUAAUGUUCGUUGGGCAGAGGUGAUGACCGUGGCGCCAGCUUUCAAAUUGAUUUGAACCCGCAGCGGAGAGUUCCGCAGAUCCAUCACAAAAGGAACAGAGCGGGACCGCAGCAGACUAUUAUUAAAAGAUCUUUUUUUCUUCACUUUCCCCUUCCCUGAACUAUGUAACAAAUCCCCCCAAUAAAAUGUAGCACUCAUUUUUAACAGUAA